CUCAAAUAAAUUGGUUAGUCUCUAAGGUGCCACAAGUACUCCUUUUCUUUUUGCGAAUACAGACUAACACGGCUGUUACUCUGAAACCUGUAAAUGUUAAGAAACGAAAGUUAGUCCUUUAUUGUGACAUUGUAGGAAUGAAAAUGUAGAAUAUAAUGAAGUAACCCUUUUAUUACGUUUCAGGGUAACAAAUGACGGUAAAAUAAAGUUUCGGAGAAGGUAAGUGCAAGGAACUAGACUGUCCCGGAGCAAGAUCGCUUUAAAAAAACAGAGAGAAAAAGACCCAUGUAUAUGUAAUUACAAAAUGUGAUCUGUAUGAUUUGCUUAAGUAAAUUAGCGGGUGUUUGAAAAUGUGCUUGUCACUAUAUAUUGAAUUAAGCAUAUAUUGCUCUAAGUAAUGAAAUAAAAUAAUCUGGAUUUGGUCAGCAUCUACCUUAUUGUUGGUAGUCUAUCUAUAAGUCUUACCCCGUUUCUUGUUUUGGAACAUUCGCCAUAACACUCAACCAGGGAUGUGAUUUUUUUGAAAUAUAUUGUUUUAAUAAUGAACCAUAUGUGUGGGGAGGAGGAACAAUUCGCUGAAGCAGUGGCUCUCAACCUUGUCAGACUACUGCACCCCUUUCAGGAGUCUGAUUUGUCUUGUACCGCAAGUUCACCUCACUUAUAAACUACUUGCUUACAAAAUCAGACAUACACAUACAAAUGUGUCACAGCACACUAUUACAGAACAAUUGCUUACUUUCUCACGUUUACCAUAUAACUAUAAAGUAAAUCAAUUGGAAUAUAAAUUUUGUACUUACAUUUCAGUGUAUUGUAUAUAGAGCAGUAUAAACAAGUAAUUGCAUGAAAUUUUAGUUGGUACUGACUUCACUAGUGCGUUUUACAUAGCCUGUUGUAAAAGGAGGCAAAUAUCUAGAGAGUUGAUGUACCCCCUGGAAGACCUCUUUGUACCCCUAGGGGUAUGUGCAUUAAAGAACUAGUAAUACAAUUUGUUUAAUGCUUAUUUUAGAAAGGAAAUAUUGUUUGUCUCCUCUUUUGGUUCCACCUGUCAAAAUAUUUGACUGCUGGGAACAACUAAAUAUCUGUUUGAUGGACAACUUGUUUGAAAGAAGGUAAACAUGAAAAUCAUCCUACUGAUGUCAGAUUUCUUAGCAUUCUAUUUCCUGAGGAACUUUUACUUUGAAAUGUCAUGGAAGCUAUAGUUUUGGUUGUAUUUUUUCCCGAGAAUCGUAGGGUAAUCGGUUUCCUGUUCCUAUCAUAUUAAAUCUUGCUUAGAUUUGCACGUAUAAUUCACAUGGCUCUUUAUGCUGACUCAUUUUUAGAGGUAGGUUUAUGUUACGUUUCUAUAGUGGCAUAAUUAUAUUAAGAUUCUCUUUGUUAACUACUAAAAAAUUUAAUUGUUUAUCAAUGCAAAGGUCAGCACAAGUACCACUUUGCAGAAUGACUGCAGUUUCCAGUGCCCUUUGCAUUGUAUAACGGAUUAGAUGUUCAUUUUGGUUUAUGCCAGUUAUCUCACUAAAUAAAAGAGAGUCACUAACUGAGUCUCUGAUUAGGAUUUACAGGCUCAAAACCACAUUCUUCCAAUGGAUCUCGGGGUGCACGGGGCAUACACGUUAUGGCUCCAUAUGGUAAAUAUUUCAAAUGUUCAGAAUACUGGUUGUCUUCCUGUACUCUUAUUUUCCCCUGGAACAUAAACAGUUACUCAACAUUUAAUAUAAGGUACAGAAUUACCUCACAUUUUAACAGAAGUCGAACUACAAUUUUUAAAAAAGUUCAAAGGAUCAGAAAAAGGGCAUCAUUGUUAUAAAAAAGCGUCUCUACCUUUGUUUUAAAGAAUAAAUAGCAAUUUUGAAAUAGAUGUAGAGACACCGACACUCUUGUCGAUGUGAUGACUCUGUAUAAACAGGAUAUCAAAUACUUGACUAUUUGACUCCCUAGUGACGUAAACAGUGUAACUCCAGCAAGACGGUAUAGUAAAAAUGAAGUAUUUUAAAAAUACUUCAGCAAAUGACACAGACUCAAGAACUCUGGGCAAAUAGUGUAUUCAAAGCUGUUUCCUAUUUAGGUUUUGGCUUCCAGAAAAUGGGCAAUUAUUAUCAAAAAUGCUAAAACUUCACAUGUGGAGAAUAUCAUUAUCUUUUUGAGUCAUUGGACAUUCAAAAAGACAGAAAUUAUGAUGACACCAACCCGGAAAUUAACUUGUAAAUUGCUGACAAAUAAAUGAAACUUUCCAGAUCUAGUAGCUAAUUGAAAUAAUUGAGCUAGUUUUUCCUCUUGCAACACUAAAACCGAAAUGUGUGUUUUUGACAUUUCAAACUUUCAUUUUUGAUAGAUCAUUCAUCGAGAGCCAGAGAGCUGUCAUUUAAAUAUCUCUUUCCCUUAAAGUAUGAAUUAAUAUCGACGGUGCAAAUGAGUUUAUCUUAAUCGUCUGUAGGUAGCUUUGUUUAUACACAGAAAACUGGUUUGCAGUGCAUACAAAGUAUAUUUCUUCAAUUCUUGCCAGGGAUACCCAGCUGAGAUAGAAAGUCAUAGGAUGUAUUUGUCCUAUCACGUUUUCGGGGCCCAUUAAGUAGGUUUUUGGUUAUUUAGUUUUUUGUUUUAAUGAGGAAUACGUUAGAGGAGUUCUAAAAAUGAAGCGCUUAUCCGAAACUCAUAUUUUGCACUGAAUACUGCUCUGCCUAUAUCUUAAUUGUUAUGGCAUAUGAAGUGAAGAAUGACCAUAACUGAAAGUCUGGCAACAUUUACAUUGCCAGCCCUGUUCUUCGAACAGCCCAGCCCAACAGAUAGCAUUAUCACUUUUGCAAAGUGACAAAUACUUCUCUCUAAAUAAUUAAUGUUAGCUUAGUUGUUGCACCCACGGCUUAUCUCUAUCCCGCAGACACCCUAACCAGUGAAACCAGUGGACGUGCAGCAGGCAGCGGCUGCUUUGAGACCUUCCUUUCCUCUUUUCCUUCUCUUCAGAAUAUUGCAGUUAAAAUGUUGAUAUUUUGGUGAUUCUUACAUUUAACAUCUGCAGCUGCUGGUGGUCAGUGUUUACAAUAAUACACCCUGUAAAGAAGGUCUUUUAUCUCCUGCCUUGGUACGAAAAGUAUGAAGAAAAUAGAAAAAUAAUUUGGUGUUUAGCCAUUUGAUCAGACGUUACACCUAGAACACUAUUUGCGCUAAUAUUUAACUUUUCUGAGGGGUGGGGAGGUAAGCUGGAAUUUCCCCAUGAAUUAUAAAACUAUAAAUAAUAUAGCUGGAUUGAAAAAUGAUGAAAAAUAAUUUGGGGAUAAAAUUCAGCAGACCCAGCAAUUUUGUACUUUAUUUUAUUUACUUAUUUAUUUAAAUUUUUGAUUGAAAGGGCAUCUGAUUUCUAAUGUAAGUGUCACAUUGGCCGUGCGCUUUUCAGCAGCAGGAUUCUUAACCCUUCGGGUUGCAGCUACAUUGCAAUUAAAAGUUGCUGAAAUAUGUCACUAUAUUCUAGGUUUGUUUGACUAACAUGGAAAGCGUAGGGAUGAAUUCUUUGCUACAGAAAAUCCUCAGUAUGCAUUUGAAAAAACCGACCUGACUGCGGAAGACAAAAAGAAGAGUUGUGUUUUGUGGAUAUACUGCACUGAGGCAAUCAGUAAGAUCUGAAAGGUGGGCAAGCGUUUGUGAGAAGCAGCCUCAGAAGUGCUGACAACCUAUCACAGAAAAGCCACACAGGAGACACCCGCGUUUGACACACUUCUGCGUCUGGAAAUCUGAAGCGAUCCGAGCAGCUGUGAGGAAGACAAGAGCAAGAGAGAAUAGUUUUGAAGUGACAGCUGGAGAGAACCACUGUGUUCAGAAGGUCUAAACUCCUUAUUUCUCUCAGUCCUUAGGAGCGCUUAUUACACGCCCGCCCGGUAACUGGGAUAUGCAGAAGGCAUAUGCAAGCACUUAUUUUCUCGCAGCCUUGCAUCUGGGAUCUAUUCAAUAAUACAAUGAACAUUUUAGGAAAAGUACUGCUCUUAGAGCGUCCUUCAACUUGUGACAGAAAGGGGGAUCUGAUGAUAGUGUGUGAGUGUUGGGAUGUCGGUGCCUUAACAAUGUUCCCUCGGUCUACUCUAGACGCCUAUAUGCGGCCAAUAAACUGAUGUAAAAAUCAAGGCAUGUCACUUCCUGUAUUUUAUGAGCGUUUGGGCCUUUCACAACAACCAGGAAACACUACAGAGCACCAAGAUCUGGAGAGGUUCCUACAAUCUAAAACUCAGAUUCUGUUCUCAAUGACACCAAGCACUGGUGAAAGUUGAUGAGUUGACUGCACUGGAAACUCAGGUUUUCUCUUUAACCAUAUUGCAGUAUGGCAGGCUUUUCGACAUUAUCCCUGUUCAUUGGCCCUGACCUGGAAAGCUAUGUACAGGUCGUGACUGGAGGGGAUUCGCAGAGGUCCUGCGUGCUGUGAACCUGGGGGUCCCAACACCCUGAAGUAGCCUUUGAGGGAGACCUGUUUGAGGAAGCAGAUGAGGCACCCAAGAACCCUAACCCGAAUGGCCAAGCAACCAGAGAUUCUGACUGCGACCCCCUCAGAUGAAGAGGUCACCCUAGGGAACCCGUUUGGGAAGAGGCCGAGUUUGGGGGCAUACUUCAGCCUGGACCAAAGGGAGGAUCCCAUGCUCAGUUGGGCCUCUGAACCACUGACUUGCAUCAAUUGGACCAUGACUGAGCCCCAUCGGACAACAAUAUAUGCCCACUUCGAAUUGACCGGUGACCACCUUUACUGGAUCAACCGUGAUCCUUGGACAUAUGACACUUGAGCGCAGCUCGUGGUACCCUGAUGUCACUGAUGUGUGGUCUUGCAACUCACCCAUGACAUUUCAGCGUCCGGCCACCUGUGUCAUGAGAAAAUACUAGUGCAAGUUCUGGCCUGGUUCUUCUGGUUAAACAAUAAUAAUUUAUAGAGCAGUUCAUCUCCAAGUGUCCCAAAGGGCUUUACAGAAUAGUGCUUAAUUCUGCGCUCAAUGAGAGCAGCAUGAGCAGGAUCUUGCCUUACAAAUGUAAUGCACCACAGAACGCAGCCACCUCUGUUGUGGAGGUCAGUGGACAGUGCCCAGCACAUUACUCCGAAGUGUGUGGGUGUGAAGUUUGAUCAAGUCACCAGAUCAAACUCUUACUCUUACACAAAGCACCGUGGAAUAUUCAAUGUUCAGGCAAAGCAGAUCGGACCUUCAUUUUGAAGAUCUUAUCCAAAAGACCUCUGAUUGCAAAUGUAAAUGUACAUUUAUUUGAAAAGGUACCAUCAAACAAUACCUCAUACUUAAAUGCACUUGCAAUCAAAGUGGUGUACAAGACCAUCCUACUACUGAAUAACAGGAUUUCAGCCAUCCCAGUCUAUUCAGGGUUAGUGCUGUGCAUUGCCAUGCUAAAGAGCUGAGUUCAGUCUCUGGGCUGGCAGGGGAUGAGUGCAGUGUGGAAAUAGAAUGUUUAGCUUCUGAGAUCAGGAAAGAAGUGUCAUUCUUAAGAAUGGUGCUGAUGAGCUCCGAAGCCAGUCCCACAUUGCUUUCCUCAGCCACAAGGAAAAAAAGUUCAACUUGAGAUCUGAGAAAUGGUGGAAUGAAAACGGGGAUUUUCCGGGCUCCAAGAGAGCAGAAGAAAAGCCAUAUAGGUCUGUAUAACUCACUUGCUGCUCUCCAAAUGUCAGGUUUGCUUUCUUACAUUUUGGAUAUUGCAACAACUUAAAAAAUCACAAAGAAUGGCAUUUUGAGAAGUCAUAUUACUACAGAUGGGUGGAAGUGUUGCAAGUGACUUCAGUAGGAGCAAGUCUGAGCCCAUAAUGGAACUGUCCGUUGCAAUGUUUGAUAGAGUACAGCACAGAAGUACUUCUUUAGACCAGUUACCCAUCUUUUAUUGUCAUGAUCUGCCAACAAAUAUCUGUCACCAUUUCCGUAUAUUAGUUUCUUCUCUGAGGUGGCCUCUAUGUUUUUCCACUUGUGGGAGUCUACUAAGCAGUACAAACCCUAGAAGAAUAGACUGAGGCAUUUUAAUUAUACAGCUACUGUAGAACUGUCUUCAUAAUCAUACAUCAGAUCUGGAUGCCAAAUCAAGAAAGUGGUGCUGAGUAAAGGUGCAAACAGAAUUCCAGGUAUCAGCCCUGCAGAUUUCUGUGAUGGAAACAUUGUGGAGGCAAGCCAUCAAUACCACCUUAGCUGUGUCAGCUGCAUGAAGAACUCCUUUUGAGCUCCACUAAUCCUUAUUGAAAGUGGACCAGAGGUCUCCACAAUUGGAAUGCUCUGCCCAGGUGUGACCUUGAAUCUGAGAAGAGCUUGACACCAACAGGGUGAGGUUUAGACAGAGGUCUUCCUGGUGCUGACAUAAUUGCUAGUACUGAGAGAGAUGCACUGGUAGCAUCAGUAGGUCCCUGCUGAGAAACUGCUUGACAUUGAGUGUACCUUCGCACCAGCAAGACCCAGACAACAAAGUUAGUUUUUCUCACACCAGAGCAGCCAUGGGACCAGAAACAGAGUGUUCCAUUGAUUUGGUUCUGGAUGAUGGUACCAGUCCUGAAAAUGAAGGCUUCUUCUUUCCAGUUGGAGGGGGCUUAAAGGCUGAAUUUGGCAAGGGAAUUGUGCCCUAACCUGAAUUGGACCAGUGAUCUAGCUCAUAAUGUCUCUAACAUCAGGAAAGCCUGGAUCCAGGCCUGCCUGUCCUUUCAGGCCUGAUAUGUAAAAACACAGCAAGCCAAACAACAGUUGAGGGGAAGGACUUUUCCAAGGCACAUUAGACAACAGGUAUGUGCACACAAGUCUGGGAAGAUGGAGAGUAUGAGAUACACCAUUUACACCAGACAUUUUUUCAAACCUUUGGGGUCCAGAUUGGACAUGAUGUCCUGGAAUUGAGCUGGAGUUGGUCUGGGAAUCUAAAACUAAAUAAAAGCUUUAAAAACUAGUAUUAAUGAAUUAGGAAAGUCUUGUAAAUUCACCCUCUCCCAAAUUCCUUGGCUUGAAGGGAAGGUCUCUCCACCUGCAUCUUACCGCAGAAUGGAAGGAACAUAGGCAGUUGGAGUUCACACAGCUUCUUAUAACCUUGGUUCUAAAAGUUUCAUGCCAUGAGGAGGGCACUCAUGUUUUCCCAACAGGCACGGCUUUCUAGUAGGUUCCAAAGCUCAGGGGCACAAGAGGGCCUCAUUCUACAAGUGGGAAUAUGCUGAGGCCACCUCAAAGAAGAAAUUAAAUAUAUAUUUCAAAGUAGUUUUGGUUAUUGCAAACAGGGCUGUUGAAACAAUGACAAAAAAUUGAAUUCAUUCAGUAUAAAUAGCUGCAAAAUGUACCAAGAACGUAACUGUUGUCUCAACAAUAUUAUGCUGCUGCAGUUUCUGUCACAGUGAUUUUCCCCCCCCAAUCUAUUUUGUAAAGGUCAAAGUGUAAAACCAUGUUUUUAAGUGUACUUCUGACAUAAUUCUGCAGAAAAGUAAUUAAAGAAGAUGAAAGUGACCUUUACUCACAUGGCGCAAAACAAAUGAAACUGUUGUAUUCUUUCUCCUUCAGCAAUUUUCUUUGAUGCUUAUGUCUCAUAGACUUUAUAGGUGAUAAAAAAGCAACACAUAAGAUUAGUGCAUAUAAAAUUUGUAUGCAAUUUUGCACCCACAUUUGCAUGUGCAAUUGCUAUGACUGCAUGUGCAAAUUCAGAGAUUACACAUGCAAAUGACUAAUUAAUCGCCCCAUUUGUAAGUACAGUGGCAGUUGCAGCAAUAGUUUAGACAUGCAGUAAAAUACAUGUUUUUAGCAUAUUCAGGUGGUCACCUACUUUUUAAAAAUGUGGCUUUAUAAAUGGGUAUUUUACCUGUCACAGAAAUAGAUUUAAAAAGAUCCUAUAAAGCAGUGUAGUCUUGAGGAGUGAGCACAACACUGGGAAUCAGGAAUGCUAAUCCUGGUUCUGCCACAGACUUGUAACCUUUCAGUUUCAACAUCUGUAAAAUGGGAAUAAUAGUAGUUACUCACCAAUUUCCAGGGGUGUUGUGAAGACUGAUUAAUUAGUUAAUGUUGGUUCAGUGCUUUGAACAUAUAAAACAAUAUAAAAUGCUAAUUAUUAUUUACCCAUCUUUAUAAAGGACUUUGAGAUCCUUAGAUGAAAAACUCUGCUAUAUCAGUGAAAAGUAUUAUUGUUAUUCUUAUUAUGAAGUAGUUGGAGCAAUCAGAAAUUAUUGUGGUCCCCAAUAUUGUUAGUUAUCAUGAGAUGUUUUUAUAAAGGAAACAUAUCAAAUUAGAAAGCAGAAGCAAAACUUUAUUUGUACACUGCUAAGUUUUAUUUAUUAAAUCCUCUUAUAUAUAGCCGGGUCACAUGCUAACUCAUGUUAGUGCUUCAGUUUUGUUUUUCUAAAACAUUUUACAUCAAUGAGUGGUUUAUUCUGAAAUCUUUUUAAAAAAAUAUAUAAAUAGUGACAAAGCAAGUAGUUUGAUACAUUUUAUGGAUCCAACUUAGAGGUCUACAUACACACAUUUCUGUGUUUGUAAGGAGGCUUGCAUAUUUUUGAACUCUAAGUUGGUCUAAUAAAAGAUAUCAGACUACAGUACUUGCUUUGUCUGCUCUGUUUUGCUGGUCCAGAAUGACUACAAGGUUCACUUUCAAUUUUUAUCAUAAAAA